CAGAGGCAAGUCGAAUGAAGCCUCCUCUUUCCACGUCGGGGCCAUACUCUUCUCCGCCACCGAGGUAGAAAACUUGUCUUUAGCCACCUGGAUGAUGGCAUAGGCGUCGUUGGUGCCAUUCUUCCCCUUGGCGCGUAGGUUCCGAGCCUGGUGCACCGUUACCUGCACACUAGUGGGGAACCACUGCUGGCUUUGAUCGACCAGGGACAUCACCGCAAGACGUUGACCAAAUGCGGUCCUGAGAGGGAGGCUCAAGGUAGAUGUGGUGGCGGUGUUGUUGUUACCGGUAACCUUCGACGUCCUCUGUGGGCUGGACGUUUAAAGUUACCGAGCUCGGCUUCGGUUCAGGAAGCUCAGGGCACCAUUUGAGGCUGCAGCCCCUGGCACAGUUGUGGUGACGCUGUUCAAAGGUGUCUUCUGGCUCCACUGCGCUGCCAUAGCAUCGCUUCCUGGGGACAAGUGGCGGAGUGACACCCAGAUAGGCUCUGAGUGGUUCCACAUUCUGCAGCCAUCUGUAUUAUAAAGAAUGGAAACCAAUGGCUGAGUCAUUAAUUGAGCAUUUGAAUAGCACUUACUAUAUUUAUACAUUUACUAGCCACAGCAUUAUGGCCACUGUGUGCAGGUGUCCAUGGGUUACAAACAAGUUCCAUUCCUAGACUGUGAUAUAAGUUGAGUAAAUCAGAACUUGCACUGUACUUAAAUUAAGUCACUCAUACUGUACACAGAAUACUUUUGUCAAUGUGGUUGUCUUAAAUAUUAAAUAUUGUCCCAGUCUCGCCUGGAAAGAUAAACUCUUCAUAAUCAGGGAAUCCAUGACCCCUCUAUGAUUCAAUAACUUUUAUCCUUAAUGAUGGUGGCAAC